rnacentral:lncRNA from 1 species
GGUGCGGAGUCUCCACAAUCACUUGAGGAUGCUAUCUAAUCGGAAGAACUGUCAAUGGAGUCCAAGCGGCCUAGGAGGGUCAUUAGACCUCUCGUUAGGUAUGAUGAUUAUGUCACUUCUUUCAUUCCUUCUAUUAACCAUAUUUGUGCUUAUGUUGCUUUGGCAGAGGAGGAUGAGCCAACUCAUAUAGGAAGGCUUGUGAGUCCACCAA